rnacentral:rRNA from 1 species
UACGUAGGGUGCAAGCGUUGUCCCGGAAUUAUUGGGCGUAAAGAGCUCGUAGGCGGUCUGUCGCGUCUGCUGUGAAAACUCGGGGCUUAACCCCGGGCCUGCAGUGGGUACGGGGCAGACUAGAGUGCGGUAGGGGAGACUGGAAUUCCUGGUGUAGCGGUGAAAUGCGCAGAUAUCAGGAGGAACACCGGCGGCGAAGGCGGGUCUCUGGGCCAUAACUGACGUGAGGAGCGAAAAGCGUGGGGGAGCGAA